ACUGUGUGUAAGACGAGGAGUAAAAAGCACGGAGAAGGAGCGAGAGAAAAGGGCUACAGUACGAGGAGGAGAUGAGUUUCAGUGUAAUGCAACAUGGAACAAAACAACAGCGGCAGGAGUGGGACGCUGGCAAACACUUGAGGCUGGGUUCGACGAUUUGGUCUGAGUGCAGCAGAGGCAGGCAGACCAGCAGCACAAGCCGUAACAAGAUGGCGGCGGUCUGCAGCAGAGAGUGUAGUGAUCUCUGUCCAGGGAGAAAAGAGACAGAAAGCUGUAAGCGUAACCUGCUCAGGGCACCUAGGUGCCAAGUAUUACAAUGAUUUGGAGUCAGUCCCUUCUACAGGGUGGGGCAGGCAGAGCGGAGCCAGUACCCACAGGAGCACUGAUAGGUGAAGGGGGCGCGAGAACAAUGGAAUGGCUGCCUCCCAAACAGAGCUGCCGUACUGCAGUGAUAAAGAAACAGGAAACGGGGUGGGGGGUGGGCGGGGGGUAGACACACCUGCUCCUGCUGCUGGAGCACGAGCAGCUACUGUAACAAGCAGCAGACAGAACACGACUGAGCCGGAUUCAAACGUGAGUCCAGCCUCUCAUCCAGCAAUCAGAGGGCACCUCAGGACUCAUGUGAGAGCAUGAGUGAGAUUACAGCACAGGGGAAGAGCUGGGAAUGACAGAUGAAGGGAGACGUAAAGCUGACAAAACCAUACUCUCCAACAUAUGCUGUGCCACUCACAUAACAGAUGUUUUUAUUCAUGCAUUUAGACAUGAAAAAUAAAAAUGUUACACCCAGUGUAUGCAAUAGAAAAUCA